rnacentral:rRNA from 1 species
AACGUAGGACGCAAGCGUUAUCCGGAGUUAUUGGGCGUAAAGCGCUCGCAGGUGGUCCGUCGCGUCGUGCGUGAAAGACCCCGGCUCAACUGGGGAGGGUCGUGCGAUACGGGCGGACUGGAGGCCAGUAGGGGGAUGCGGAAUUCCGGGUGUAGUGGUGGAAUGCGUAGAGAUCCGGAGGAACACCAGCGGCGAAGGCGGCAUCCUGGACUGGUCCUGACACUCAGGAGCGAAAGCGUGGGGAGCGAUCCGG